rnacentral:rRNA from 1 species
GACGAACCGUGCAAGCGUUGUUCGGAAUCACUGGGCUUAAAGGGCGCGUAGGCGGCUUGCCAAGUCAGGGGUGAAAUCUUUCGGCUUAACCGGAAAAGUGCCUUUGAUACUGGCGAGCUAGAGGGAGGUAGGGGCAUGUGGAACUUCCGGUGGAGCGGUGAAAUGCGUUGAUAUCGGAAGGAACGCCGGUGGCGAAAGCGACGUGCUGGAUCUCUUCUGACGCUGAGGCGCGAAAGCUAGGGGAGCGAACGGG